rnacentral:lncRNA from 1 species
GCCCAACAUUAGGAAAUCACGGCUGCAGUAUGUGGAAACUUAUGUAAUCAAACAUAUAUAGAUAGCUAAUGCAACAUAUAAGGUAGUACCAUUGAAACAGAUCAGCAAAGUCAUUGCAAUGAAAAUAUGGAUGGGUACAACAUAGAAGGGAUAAUGAACAUACCGCAAAAACCACAAGGCAAGAGCCAAGGUAAGGACAUUCGGUAGCACCUUCAUCUUGUUUUGAAAAGGAUUGGUACUUUUAGACUUCAUUCAUCAAAUUAUCAAGAAUGUGGCCAGCCCA